UUCAAAGUGGACUCUGUACGAUAUUUGACAACGGCAUCGUCCCAGCUGGGUGUCACUUACAGGGAGAUAGUGACUAUCCCAGCAAGAAGUGGCUACUGACUCCAUACCUCAGACCACAGCCUGGAGCACAGUCUUCUUAUAACAGGGCCCACAAGAAAACCCGCAGCAUUGUUGAGAGGCAUCGGGCAGCUGAAGCGACAUUUUCACAUGCUACACAGUGAGAUCCGAGUUGGUCCUCCAUCCAAGGUCUGCCAAAUUGUAGAGGUUUGUGCACUGCUGCACAACAUCUGCAAAGCAAGAAACAUCAUUCUUCCUGAGGAAGAAGAACAUCUUGCUGCAGCCGAGGAUGGAGGCAACGAGGAGCGACUCCUAGCACAGAAAGUUCAAAGUCGCCAUGAAGUAAUCCUUUAAAGGGAUGAAUUUGUUGUGCUUCACUUCAACAUUGCUGAGUGAUGAGACACCAGUGUCAUGACUGCUGAGAUUGGUGUUAUUCUCAUGUGGAUGAUCUCCUCCUCAUCCACAAACACCAGUGAUGUACCAGGCAAGUCUGGCCCCUGUUGGUGCUGCAAGUGGUGUGGCAGGUGCCUCCUCCUCAACACCCACUGUCUCGGUCACCACUUCUCUCUGUUGGGCUGCCUCUGCCACUUCCCCCAGCAUCAUCUGCUGCCUGCACACUGCUGGCAUCAUUAGUUCUAACUUCAGAAACUAAGCUGAUAAUGUUUUUGGUUUUAUUGCUAAGGACAAAAGUAACAGAAACCAGUAAAUCUAGCUAAGGGUA